CCUACGGGAGGCAGCAGUGAGGAAUAUUGCUCAAUGGACGAGAGUCUGAACCAGCCAAGUAGCGUGAAGGAUGACUGCCCUAUGGGUUGUAAACUUCUUUUAUAUGGGAAUAAAAUGUUCCACGUGUGGGAUUUUGUAUGUACCAUAUGAAUAAGGAUCGGCUAACUCCGUGCCAUCAGCCGCGGUAAUACGGAGGAUCCGAUCGUUAUCCGGAUUUAUUGGGUUUAAAGGGAGCGUAGGUGGAUUGUUAAGUCAGUUGUGAAAGUUAGUGGCUCAACCGGAAAAUUGCAGUUGAAACUGGCAGUCUUGAGUACAGGAGAGGUGGGCGGAAUUCGUGGUGUAGCGGUGAAAUGCUUAGAGAUCAGGAAGAACACCGAUGGCGAAGGCAGUUCACUGGACUGCAACUGACACUGAGGCUCGAAAGUGUGGGUAUCAAACAGGAUUAGAUACCCUUGUAGUC
rnacentral:rRNA from 1 species